GCCUUCCCGCACAAACAAUGAUUGUGUACUUGUAGAGUUCAUUGUUAGUGAGAUAUGUAAUGUCUUAAAGAGGCUUCCUAAUCACGCAUAGAAGAUGCUUUUCGAUGGAUCUCGUAUGCAUAUGGUAACUUUUUUUGUUGUGAAUUGGGGUUUAGUUGUAAUUGUAGGCUUAUUCCGUAGUAUAUAAAGUUAUAAACACAUAUCAUUGUGUGCAUUUUGUUUUUGGUGUGUUGCAUGGUCAACCAGCGUUCGUAAUAUUAGUCCGAAAGUUGCUGAUGCUUUAUUGCUAUUUUUCGUAGAUAGUUAUGCUAAUCACCUUUUUGGCGCUAUUAAUCUGUAUUUAAUUUGGUUUAUAGGAUUUACCUUUUGAUGUUCAGUUUCGUAAAUAGGUGGCAUUAGUUGUUCACAAAAGAAACUACUUAGAAGACCCAACAAAAGAAACAUCUUUGGAUAUUCUCUUGCAGAUUACAACAUGGAGAAAGGUAUGUAUGGGGUUUUUAGGGGAAUGAGUUAUGAAUCAUGAUAC
rnacentral:lncRNA from 1 species